rnacentral:lncRNA from 1 species
CCAGCCAUGCGCCUCCUGAGCCGGCCCCGCGUCAGCCGGAUCGCCUCCUCAAUGAGAGUCUCCUCAGAUGGUAGUGAUGGCGGUGCGGCGCUCGUGGAUGCUCGGGGUGGGUCGACCUGCAUGGCUUCGGUGUUCUGAGGACCAUUGGUGGUGGCAGCUCCAGGAGCAGGUGGUGGCUGUGGCUGGGCGGGAGGCACUGCACCAGGAGGGGCAACUGGAACUGGGGCCCUUGGUGGAGCUGGAGGAACUUGGGCUUGGGCAGGCUGUGGUGGCAUCGGAGGCGCUGAUGGCGCGGGAACGGGUGGAGGUCCAGGGUUC